CAGUAGCCGCGGGAAGACAGAGGAUGCAAGCGUUGUUCGGAAUUAUUGGGCGUAAAGGGUGCGUAGGCGGUCUGAUAAGUCAUCUGUGAAAUCUCUGGGCUCAACCCAGAGUCUGCAGGCGAAACUGUCGAGCUUGAGUAUUGGAGAGGUGAGUGGAAUUUCCGGUGUAGCGGUGAAAUGCGUUGAGAUCGAAAAGAACACCAACAGCGAAAGCACUCUGCUGGGACGACACUGACACUUAGAGACGAAAGCUAGGGGAGCAAAUGGGAUUAGAUACCCCCGUAGUCCCUGUCUCUUAUAC
rnacentral:rRNA from 1 species